GGUGGCGUGCCCGAGUGGUCCAAGGGAACGGAUUGCAAACCCGUACAACCGUCGGUUCGAAUCCGACCGCCACCUCCA
rnacentral:tRNA from 1 species